rnacentral:lncRNA from 1 species
CUUAUAAGUUUAGUGAGAAGGCUAUUGUCUCAGGACCUGAAAAAGUGAGCGAAAAGGCCAACCAACCAGUCACUGCAUAUCCUGCUCCGCCGCCUGCUGGGAUUGGCUCUAGUUCAGCACCUUAUGGUGCUCCUGGGCCUUAUCCACCUCCACCACCAAGCGAUCCAGUCCCACCAAUGGCAAAUUAUAGUUACCCACCACCUGCAUAUGCUGGAUAUCCACCACCACCUGCAUAUGCUGGAUAUCCACCGCCGCUGCCACAGCCAUAUGCUGGAUACCCACAACAAGCUCAUCCGCCAGGACAUGGAUACCCGCCGCCGCCUCCACCCGCAGGUUAUGGGUAUCCACCGGUUCAGGCUGGAUAUGGAUAUCAACCAGUGCAACAACCGGCAAAGAAGAACAAAUUUGGAAUGGGAUUGGGAGCUGGCUUGUUAGGAGGAGCAAUUGGUGGGCUUUUGAUCGGAGAUAUGGUGUCU